GUAUCUGUCAGUGCUGGCUGAGUCUGCCUGUGUGUGCCAGUGUUAAAGGGUGGCCUUCCCUUGCUGUUUCAGGGUGCUUACAGUAGGGUAGGAAAGAAGAACCUGCUUUGGAGCAGCAUGGAAAUAAGUAGCAAAAGCUUUAUGAAAGAACAAGGAACUGGGAACAGCAAAAUUACUCAAGGAGGUCUAGUCCUGAGAGGAGGUCAAACACUGCUGCUACAAGGAACUAGAAGUGUUUUGCACCAGUUUUGUCAAACAGGGUUCCAGGUAGACCUUUGUGUGAUGCUGUGUGCUGACAGAGAACUCUGGCAAGCGCAUCUUCCAUCUUCAGGUGUGUGCAUGCAGGAGCUAGAGGUGGAAGUGACAAAGGCAAAAGAGGCUGUACUGACCUUUAUGAAAGAAGAGAUCCAUGGGGAAAGGUUUCUUUCUGAUGGACAGGAAGCUAUCCAAUUCAACCAUUAA
ensembl:lncRNA